rnacentral:rRNA from 1 species
AACGAACGCUGGCGGCGUGCCUAACACAUGCAAGUCGAGCGCGAAAGUUCCUUCGGGAGCGAGUAGAGCGGCGGACGGGUGAGUAAUACAUAGGUAAUCUACCUUCGAGCUUGGGAUAACCCCGCGAAAGUGGGGCUAAUACCGGAUAAGACCACGUAAUUAUUUUACGGGGUAAAAGGUGGCUUAUUUUUUAAAUGAGCUAUCACUUGAGGAUGAGCCUGUGGCCUAUCAGCUAGUUGGCGGGGUAAGAGCCCACCAAGGCUAUGACGGGUAGCUGGUCUGAGAGGACGACCCGCAACACUGGGACUGAGACGCGGCCCAGACUCCUACGGGGGGCAGCAGUGGGGAAUAUGGGGCAAUGGGCGAAAGCCUGACCCAGCGACGCCGCGUGGGCGAUGAAGGCCUUCGGGUUGUAAAGCCCUGUCAUGCGGAAAGAACGACCCUGAGACGCAUACUCUCAGGGAGUGACGGUACCGCAGGAGGAAGCACCGGCUAACUCCGUGCCAGCCGCCGCGGUAA